GUUUUAACAUCUCUCAGUGUAAGGCAAGAUUAGAUUUUCAUCACACUGUUAACUUCAUAAACACAAUAAAUCCUUACUGAUUUUUGCAUUAGCUUGCCUCUUCUCCUAUAACAAUAUUACUUAAUUCAACCCAUUUAGAGCAUUCGUCAAAAAUGUAUAUAUCACCACAAAUUGUUUUGUUUUUAUGUACAUUAAUGUAAUUUGAUUGCUCUGUCUUUUGAUGUACCCUAAUUCUCUGUAGAGUUGUAAUAUUCUGCUCAGACUAUAUUGCUAUACUUAAUUUUUCAUUUGCAAAUAACUGUUUACACCCAUUGUAAGAUUAAUAUAUACAUUAAGAAGAUGUGGACUCAAGAUAGAACCACAGAUUACUCUGCUUACCACUCUGAUUAACUCUAAGUGCUCACUGACUAGGAGCGCAAUUCACAAGGCCCUCUAUGGUUUUGGAUAUUCCUGGGCACAUAACUAUUGCUUACCUCCCAAGUGUCCCUAUUUAUGACACAUAGGCACUAUUUUGGGCUCAAAUCAGUUUGUCCCUCUUUUCUAUCCAAAUGUCAUUGUUUUCUAGGAGCCUCAUAUUGUUGGUGUGUCUGAGUGUAUAACAGAGCUCCACAGUAAUAAUAUUCAAAGUAAUGUGCCUUUAAACUACAAUACAUGUGUUUGCCAAUUAAUCUAAAUUACAUUUUAGUUGCAUAAAUUGUUAUUAGUAAGUCACCUAAAGUUUCAAAACAGCCAAACCUCUGGCCACACCCCUAAAAUUAAAGUGACCCUCUUUGUCCAUUUGAAAUAUUGAGAGAUAUGCUGUGUUAUCUGGGAUUCUUCAAGAUUGUUCAAGAUUUCUUUUUUUACACGAACACUAUAGCAUUAGAAAUACAAACCUGUAUUCCUAACGCUAUAGUUCCUCUCUGUCUAGUCAUAUACUUCCUC